CCCGUGCGCACCGCUCGUGCCGUCGACGCCCGGAGGCCUCGUGUCGCCGCUGUACGGUCACGGUGGAGCCGGGACACCUGCGCCCUAAGUUGCACGGAUACGGAUACGUGUAUCAGUAUCCGAACGAUACGGAUACGCGGAUACGGCAAUUUCCUAAAAAACCCGAUACGUGGAUACGUUUACUAUUUUAAAAAAUAAAAUAAUAAUAAUAAUAAUAAUGCAGUUCUGAAUUUAAAACUAAUAACAAUAAAAUGUCACAAUAAACUACUUAAAGUACAGGUCUAAAGUCUCAUCAACUCUCAGAUAUAGUAGUCUCAAACUUAGAAAAUAAUAAUAAGGCAUUCAGGCUUGCGAUUCAUGCUGCAGCAGGUUUCUAUUCCUCAUUUGUUUCAUUGUCAUCCACAAUAUCAACCGGUGGCUCAUCCAGACCAAAAGACACUGCUUGCAGUUCAGGUUCAUCAAGGGACAGAUCCUACGCUGGGACUACCACUUGCACUAGCACUGCUCAUAUUUGGAGAUGCCAUCUACUGCAAUCAAGCAACAAGAACUCACUAACUGCACUGCAGAUCUAGAAUGGGGAGAGGAAGACUAGGCUACGAACUGAAGAAGAAGAGAUCGAGAAGAGAACAGAGAAGAGGAUGAACUCACAAGAGUUCCCUGGAUCCACGUCGCAGGGGAGGAAACUUGUUGCCGGCGGCCGGCGAGCGGAGGCGGAGGCUCGUCGCCGGUGGCCGGCGCUGGCGGGCAGCGAGCAAGGGAUGCGUCGUCGCCGUAUGGGGAUGCGGCGCGAGGCACAGCAUGCGGGAGUGCGGGACAGCGCGAGUUCCAGGUUAGGGCGUCGGAGACAGGCAUAUGUGCCAUGUGUUUUUGGGCUGGGCCGUAUCCACAAGGCUGAUACGUAUCAGCCCACGUAUCCAAUUUUUGUAAAAAUAAUAAAAAAAUCAGAUACUUCUAGGAUACGUAUCCAUGGCGUAUCGGACACGUACCGUAUCCGAUACGUAUCGGAUACGCGAUACGCGGCUUCCUGCAAGUAUGCGUGUAACGUAGCCUGCGCCGCGGCUGCAACACGGUGCGGCCUAGAGCUCUGGCACGUUAACAAGCAUAGGGGCGAAGUUUUUUCUCUUGCUGAAAAGCAAGGACAAAGGUUUCAAAUAAAACACAUGGACGAGUGGUUAAACACAAAGAAAAAAGCUCAUUAUUUU
rnacentral:lncRNA from 1 species